rfam:Alligator mississippiensis ScZkoYb_279.1, whole genome shotgun sequence.
GGGAGCAUAGCUCAGGGGGAGAGUAUUUGACUGCAAAUCAAGAGGUUCCCCGUUCAACUCUGGGGGUUCCCU